rnacentral:misc_RNA from 1 species
UAGUGCACUGCCAACACACGCGCCAUGUCGCGUGUGCGCAUUCUCAACCUACCAAACGACUGCACGGAGGAGCAGCUGAAACAGCACCUCCUGCGCACGGCGCCGCGAGAGGCUCCGCUGCUGGAGAUCACUGACGUGCAAUUUAUUCGCAGACCCGCCACGGCCGCGGACCGGGAUCACCACCACAAGCAUCAGAAGCAACGGCAGGGCUCCGGCGGUGCAGUCGCAGCAGCCAAGGCCCCCAAGAUGAUCCUCCGCAUGGCGUUCGUCGGCUUCCGCACCUCAGCGGCGGGGCACUUUGUCGCCCAGUACUUUAACAGCUCCUUCUUCCGCAGCUCCCGUCUGAAGGUCGAGCUGGCGAAGGGGCUCAACGAGGUGGGCAUUACGCUGAAUCAGCUGCGCAAGCAGCAGCAGCAGCAGCAGGAAGAGACGAGCGACCGAAAGAACAGCAGCAAAUCGGGAGCUGGCGCUGCCGACGGUGCCCACGCCUCCGGGCUCACCUCGUCCACGACGUCGCGUGAGCAGGCGACGACUCGCAAGCGUGUGCGCGACGAUGACCGUGAGGAUGGGCAGAAAGACAGCGACACCGGCGCCACCUUAGCGGACGGCCUCGCACGCCGUCAGCGUGAGUUUGUAGAACUGCGAAGCAAGGCGACUGAAGGACCCACGUGGGCAGCAGAGGUGCUGCUGGCUCCGGAUACCUCGCCAACAGCUGCGGCAGGCGAGGAUGAGCAGAAGAAUUCCGCUAUGGACAAAAAGACGCAGCAGCAUCGGCGGCGCCAGCAAGCCGAGAGGCAUACCGCUGACGGCGGAGACACCAACGACGACGACGAGGCUGAGCAAGAGCGUCGGGCCCUGUUGCGGCAGCAGGCGCUGGGGGAAGUGAGCGACAUGGACUUCCUGUCCGGACUCGCUGUCCCCCCGACGCACAGCGCGGUGGAUGCGGAAGUGACGGCGCAGCGAGAAGAUGGUGCGGACGACGUCGCCUCCCUGCGCGAUAAUGAUGUCGACGGGGACAUCCCUGCUACUGCCAUGAAUGCCGCUAACGUUACGAAUCCGGGGACGAAAGGUGUUGACCAUGACGCCGCGGCCAUGGCGCAGGAGGCGCAGGAGGAGAUCGCGCGUGCGUCGCACCGCAUUCGCCUUGGCAACAUCCCGUACAUCGCCACCGAAGAGCACCUGAAGCAGUUCGCCGCCUCCCUCGUGGGACCCGUGGAGGCGGUGCACAUCCCCCUCACCAAAGACACGCGGCAGAACAAAGGUGCCGCCUUCGUGCGCUUUUCGUCGGCCGAGGACGCGGUGCGAGCGCUUCAGUUGUGCCGCGGCGCCAUCCUCAUGGGUCGCCUGCUCCGCGUCAGCGCCGCCGAAGAGGACCCCCACAGCAAGCGUGUGAUGGAGCGAGAAGCUGCGCUCGCCUCGACGGCAGCCGCUCAAGCAGCCGAUGGCGCACUGAGCAGGAUGAAUCUUGCUGGGUCCUCGCAGUUCAAGAAGCAGCGCGAGGCGGAUCGCCGCGACAAGGGCGGCGGAGGCGGGCAAAUGACGUGGAACACAAUGUACAUGAACAGUCACGCUGCCGUGGAGACGGUGGCGCAGCGGCUUGGCGUGCGGUCGGAGGAUGUGGUCGGCGUCGGUGCCAAGGGUGCCGCCGUGCGCGCGGCCAUCGCAGAGGCGUACCUGACGAGUGAAGUGCAGCAAGUGCUGAGCGACGAAGGGAUCGCCUUUGAUCUUCUAGAGGGUGCCACGCAGAACUUUCUGAAGUCGCGGUCGAACACAACCAUUCUCGUGAAGAACCUCCAGCUGAAGGACGGCAACGAUGCAGCGGAGCUCACAAAAUUGUUUGUGCGCUUCGGCGUGCUAGAGGCGUCGGCCUUCCCAUCUGCAGGGAUUUUUGCACUGUUCCGCUACACGCACCCGCAAGACGCCCGCAUCGCCUUCACGCGACUCUCCUACAAGCUUUUCAAGACAGCGCCGCUGUUCCUCGAGUGGGCACCGGUAGGGGCGCUGAUGGAAGACAGCGAGGGCGGCAGCGCGCCGGCUGUAGCUGCCUCGGACCUAGGGCUGACGGCUGGCCCAUCCGCUGACGGCGAUCCUGACGCCGACACCGGCGGCUCUGUUGCCGCUGCGGUCGCCAAGGCGAUGGUGUACACGCUGUUUCUCACCAACAUUCCCUUUCAAACCACCGAGGACGAGCUGCACGCCUUCCUAUUGGAUGCGUGCCCACGACUGGCCCGCGCGCCAGAGGCGCUCAUCAAGCGCCUCGUCCUCCAGCAGGAGCAAGGCCGAGCCUUCCUCACUGUGGCGGACCAGAGCACGCUGGCCUACUGUGUGUCGAAGCUCAACGGCAAACCCCUGGCGGGCCGCACUCUGUCGUGCGUCGUCAGCAAGCAGACCGCGCAGCUGCAGCAGCAGGCACGUGUGGCAGACACCACCGCCGCACCACAGGGUACCACCAGACGGUGCGCUGGAACUGACGCGGACGAUGACAAUGACGAUGAGUCCGACCCCACAAAGACCGCCGUCCUCGCUCGCCGUCGCGCCGGUGGCGCGAAUCCAGACAACGGCGGAAGUGGCGCCAUCUCGAAUCCCGCAUCUGUAUUGAAGGUGCCGCCUGGCAGCGACCCGCAGAAGCUCAUCGUCAAGAACCUCCCCUUCGAGGCGACCGAGAAGGACGUACGCGAGCUCUUCUCCGCCUUUAGCGAGAUCCGAACCGUGCGUGUGCCGCGCAAGAGCCACACCUUCUCCUCUCACCGCGAGAACAACCAUCGUGGCUUUGCCUUUGUGGAGUUCCUCUCCGAGGCCGAGGCGGCACGCGCGCUGGAGACGCUCAAGGCAACGCACCUGUACGGUCGGCAUCUGGUGCUGCAGUACGCGAAGCUGGGCGGGUAGUCGGCCAGGGAACGUUGUGCCCACGUGUCGUCUUGGGUCCGCUCACGAACCGCGCGUGCCCUCGAGGCGUUCGCCUCUGUUCCGCCUUGUCUGCCUGUUCGCUUGGUUCUCUUCGGGUGGGAGGGCAAUGAACUAAGAGCGCAUCGUUUAAGCACAUGUGUAACCGAUCAAGCCGUUGAUAGUAAAACAUAAAACGAAGGAAUGGAUGGGGUAGAGAAAGAGAGACGCACACACCCAUACACACGCGGACGCAUGCAUACAUGCACUAUGUACACCUAUACCUCUCUCUCCAUCUCUCUCUCUAUCCCCUCACCUCCCCCCCCCGCCUUUCUCUUCCAACUGCUGUGUCGCGCGUAUGGGCACUCGUGUGUCUGCGCAUGUGAAGCAGCACUGCAUUCCCAUCCACUGGCACACACACACACACACACACACACACACCGAGAGAACAAAAAGGAAGCGAAGGUUACUUACGGUCGCUGGUUGUUGUAGAUGAAGGGGCAAGGGCGCGAAGCUCGUGGUGCGCACGCGAACGCCUCCUCACAAGGUGCCGAUCACGCACCUCUUUUGGGAUCAGUGCGGAGUGCUGGGCCCCGUGCAGACGUGCCGUGAGGCCUGAGGACACUCUGCGCGUGCAUGUGCACUGUCUCUCUUUCUCUCUGUUGCACACCCUCGCGCCCCC